GGGCUUAUUCACACAAUAAAACAGUCAAUAAAUUGUGUACGCUUGAAUAUCGAAUUAACACAAAAAUAACUAUCAAAACAGACGCAACAUAUAAAGUUCAAAUAAUUGUUUUAGUUCUCAGUUGUUAAUUCAUAGUAGUUGUAAUUCGUUGUACUACGCUCUGUGAUUUGUGUGAUCAUUAAUCGAUUAUUAAAAAUGCAUUUUAAACAUAUUAUUUUAACGACAAUAUUAUUUUUAUUUUAUUACUCGGUUAUCGCGUAUCCAUCUUUGCCAUCAGCCUCGGUAUCAACUUCCUUAUUAGCCCCGUCAUCAAUCUCGGUAUCAGCCCCGGUAUCAGCCCCGGCAUCUGCCCCGUCAUUAGUUCCGGCAUCAGCCCUGGAUGCAGGAUGUGUGUGUACAUAUUCAGUGGAAAAUAAGGAUGGCGUGAAUAUGAAACCAAAGGAUGAACAUAAUAUUUCCGAAAACAAUAAAGUUUCUUCGAAAUGCUUGAUAAAAUGAUUUGAAAAUGAUUGCGAUUAAUAGCCAUCUCAUGACGUUAAUUCUUCGGAAGACGAUCAGAUAUCAAUUAAUAACCGUUAUGUCCAUACAGUUCCAUAUUACUAAUUGUUUAACAAGCUAUUGUCCACUAAAUUCAUAUGUAGCUCUAUAUUUUUAAUCUGUUCGUAUAAAAAAUUGUCUUUUCUUGAAAUAUUAUGUUGGUUUUAUUGUACUCAUUUGUAUAUACUAAUAAUAUACUCGUAUAUAGUUGUAUCUAACAAUGGUAAUCAAGUAAUUUUGAAAAUUCUCAUGAAAUAAAUUGCUUAAAAAAAAAGGUCA